rnacentral:lncRNA from 1 species
CCCAGCGCUCACGCCUGGCUCAGCCCCGCAUGCCACUCUUGGCACUUCCAGGCUCCAGGCAGCGCCUGCGGUCCAUCCAGACUCCAUGGCAUCGUUACCGCCCACUUCGGUCCCUGUUGACCUCGUGUCACCUCUGCCGGUCUCUACUGACCGUAUGGCACCGUUGCCAGCCUUUGCGGUCAUGGACCACACUGUGUCCCUGUGACCAGCCCUGUAGGGCUGCCACAGGACAGCACUGCCCACCCCCACAGUCUCUGCUAGUCCAGUGCCAGCAGUGCCUGCCCCCUCGGACUCUCACCUUGCAACCACGCCCACGCCGUCGUCCCAACAGCUGCCUUUCAGGCCAGUGCUGCUGCCACCAGCGGGCACUCUUGGCCCCACGUCAGCAGAGCCAGCCCCAUAGAUCCCUCCUGGGCCAGCCUAGCUGCUCUCAACAGUCAUCAGUGGGCCCCAAGCAGCCUCAACAAUUAGUUGAAAGCCCUGAACAAACCAGUCCUCCCAAGCCUGCCCUGCUGAGCCCUAGACAGUCACAACAGAAGUGCCCACGUCCCAGCCCAGAGCAAUCCCAUAUACCCAAGCAGCCCCUCAUGGGCCCGAAGAAGCCCCUGCGGUCACUUCUGGGCCCAGACCAGCCUCGAAAACCCCAACCAUUACUUCCUCUUCCUGAUCGUCCUUCCCUUCUGGGGCAGCCAGGCCUGGCCCCCCAGCCUCUGCUGAGGCCUCUUUGUCAGCUGAGACGGCAGUCCCUACUGGGACUGGUGCCAGCUCGUCGUCCCCGGCCUUCCAUACUGGGCCAUCCCUUCAGGCCCCUGAGGUCACAGUGGACUCGACACUCUGCCCCAGGGGUGGCCCGCCAAGCCCCAUCUGUGAGUCCUGGAGCCUGAGGCUUGUAGAUGACUUCCUGGGUGAAUUUGUUAAUGCUACGAUUGGACUGCACUAAUGAGAGCCGGCUCUCUUUAAGCCUAAGAUGGUUUCC